rnacentral:lncRNA from 1 species
GCCUUAUUAGAUCACUUUAAUUGGGUUCAACCGAAUUCGAUUGCCUAUAAUUUAACACACAAUUAUUCACACAUACAAGCCCAUCUUUAAUUAAAAAUCCUUACAAUGGCGAUUUGGAAUUGACAUUUACACUUUAAAUGAUAGAUUUUUUAGAAUGUUAAUGAGGUGAAAAUGAAUCAAGGAGAAGCAGCAAAAAACAGCACCACUCUGGAUCCCAAUUCUGUAGAGGUGAUUACCUCAACUCUCCCGCUUUAUAUGCGAAUGCAGUUUUAUAUUUAUUUAUUUUUUAAUUUUUUUCCCAUUUACGAUGUUUUGAAAAGAGAAAAGAGUCGUGGUUAUGCAUGGUAAUGAUUUUUAAUGUGCAAGACAUUAUAUGCCUGAUCCUGGAUGCUUCAAUAGCUUGCAACUUUGCUUGUGAUGUUGAUUUUGAUCAAUAUUUUUGAAUUUGGUCUCAUCCUUCGGAAGAAAAGGAUGUGUUCAAUAAGGAGUUAACAGUUCACGGUUUAUGUACCCUUUUUAUUUAUGUAAAAUGACAUUUAUAUGAGGUGGUUAACAGUAUAUAGCAAUAAACUCAGAACAGAUCUAGAAAGAUUUCACUGACACACGGGGUUUAGUUAUGUAGGUAAGAUUUGAAAGUUUCUAGCAUUGGCAGUUGGGUGCUGUUUCUCGUUUCCCCAGGCUUAUACCAUCCUUUUGGGAUUACCACACAAAAAUUUCUAUCUGUUUGACAUCUGUACAGUAAAACGUGUAUUCUUUUAUUACUACUGCAUCUCACUUUCUAUCUUUAUUUGAUUUUAUUAAUACCAAAAACUUUGUGAUAUCAUGAUUCAUGUAUGAUGAGUUCCAUAUGCAGUCAAUUUGGUGUUUAUAGGUUCCAAUAAGAACAUCAUAAAAUAUAAUUAUGCAUGUGGGUGGUGGGUUCUAAUAUAAUUUUCAACUAUUGAGUGUCUCAAAUUGGCGAUUGCCUUCUAUAGUAUCUUUUACAGCUCGACAUAGAGGCACAUACAAAUCUUGGGGCACCAAACUCGGUUUACUGUUAACAAUUAGGGCAUGGCCAUUAAUUGAUGACUUGUAUACUUAUAUAUGGAUAAAGAACCAAUAACUUAUGUCCCGUGAAACACCUUAUAGAAGCAUUUUUAGUUAACUUGGAGAAUCUGUUAAUAAUGAUUGAUGAAUAUGUAGUGCUGAUGCAGAUGUCAAGUAAACAGUCUAUAUGCAUGCACACAUAAGACACAAACAAUUUAUCUAGGAAAGCUUGAGGAAGUCUCUCAUAAAGCCUCCUAUAAAGAAUUUUGUGGUUAGAUUUGACUUUGUAUGUGUAAGUUUGCUAAGGGAUUAGGGAUGGUUUCCUGAGGAAAGGAUGAGAUUUAUGGAAUUUUAGGCUGUUGUGGAUGCUGUAAGACUUUUAUUGGAACAAUAAAGUUUUAGAAGAUGUGGCCGUUUUUGACAUUUAUCAUUUCAAGAGGAGACAUGGUUACGCUUUUAUUUCAUGACUAGAGGAAAGAUUAUAGUGUCUGAACUGUGAGAAAAAAAGAACUCUCACAAGUGGAAAAACAAAGCACUUUUAUUGAUUUUUCUUAACGAUCAACUUUGUUGAAAGAUACAGGAUUGCACGAGUAUUUUCAAACUCUGAGGACUUAUACUAGACUAGAGAAAGGAACAGGAGUCCUGGAUGACUAGGAAGGUAAUUCUCGAUCAAUGUACGACUCUUUCUAAACUAUUAAACAAUCUAGUCAAAAUUAGGAUAGGACCGAUGCCCUAUAGAUAUAUAAGUCCGCCUCCAACAUUUAUUAGAAGGCCAACAUAACCAAUACUUCGUAAGUCUUAAAUAAUUAAAUCUCAUCAUCCUUUCAAAAUAAAGCACCCAAAUAUUAUUCUAAAUAUUCCUGAACUUGUCACAAAUUUCAAUGUAGAAUUCUAGAUGUAACCUCAUUUUUGUGAAUAUGUUCUGCGUCAAAAUUUUUUAUGAAGUCUUAUUCUAUGGCCCAACUACAAGGGCCAUAUAUCAUCUAUUCUCUUCCGCUUUGCUUUAUCUAAUAUCAAGUCCGUACAUAAACUAUAUGCUCAAAAUAGAUUUUAUUAUGUGAAUGUGUUAGUACUACCUUAGUUGAUUAGGCUCAUUUCCCCUAUUUCCACUUGGUUUGCCAUUCAUAUUAGUCUUAUCUUUUCUUGAGUGCAACUAGCAGCAUUAUGUGAAUGUGUUAGUACUGCCUCAUUCUAUUAGGUUCAUUAAUUAUUCAACUUCAUUAUUUUACCUCCAAUCUAUUUUCACAAAUUUGCUGGGUAUGUAUUUACUACUUCUAAGACCAACUCGUAGUUGUUUGCAGAAUCAUAUUGAAGUCCUCUAGAGAUUUUUAUUUUAACCUAAUAAGAGUUGUUCAAUCACAACAUUUUUUCUACUUUCCCCAACCAACUCUAUUUUCUUUCCAGUAUCAUCUCCAAUUUGACUGGCUAUUUGAAAUUAUUAAUGAUGGAACGUAGAUAUUGGAAUUGUCCAAUGUUAGGUACUUGAACUCUCCAAUG